GUAUCCAUUCAUCUCUUGCAAUCAGUCAUAUAUCUGCUGAGUUGAAGGGGAUUGCUAAGCAGCCAGCUACGCUAAGGAAAAUAUCAGCUUCAAUCUUACUCAAAGUCUCAGAAGGAGUCACCAGGAAAGAAGACUGAGACUCUUUCUUUCCCUCAAAAGACUUGUUCUUCAGCCUUCUGAAGAGUGUAUAGGACCAGAUGUGCCGCUCCUGGCUGCCCUGGGCGCGGCCCACUUCCUGUUUAUUUUCAUCAAUGGACCCACACUCGGCUCCUUCCUCUCGGUUCUUAUGUGGGAAUUCACUGGGACCCAGAACCGGUUACUUGGUCUCCCUAGUCGGAAGCCAAGCUGUCUCUGAGGCUUGAAGGGAAGAGUGAGAUGCUUUACCUAUAGCAGAGGUUCUCAGCCUGUGGGUUGCAACCGCUUCCGGGGUGGAAGGACCCUUUCGCAGUGGCCGCGUAUUCUGCAAAUCGGAUAUUUACACUAUGAUUCACAACAGUAGCAAAAUUACAGUUAUGAAGUAGUAACUAAAA
rnacentral:lncRNA from 1 species